CAGGCCGCCGGGCGGUGGCAGUUGUGGCUGUUGUGCCGAAACUGCUGGCAGCGGUGGCAUUGAGGAGCUCCUUUGCGUCCCCUCCAUGCUUCGAUUUUGACACCUGCAGAGGAGGCAUGCAGAGGAGCUCG